rnacentral:rRNA from 1 species
UUUGUCCUGGGGAAAGGAGGUAGGCGGUGAUCUUAGGCAAAUCCGGGAUCACUUACGCCGAGCACCGAGACGAGUCCUAUGAGGACGAAGUGACUGACACCACGCUUCCAGGAAAAGCCACUAAGCUUCAGCUUAAGAAAAACCGUACCGCAAACCGACAAAGGUAGGCAGGGUGAGAAUCCCAAGGCGCUUGAGAGAACUCGGGUGAAGGAACUAGGCAAAAUGGCACCGUAACUUCGGGAGAAGGUGCGCCCUUUGGUGUGGUCACGUGCGUGACUGAGCAUCGAAGGGUCGCAGUAACCUGGCCGCUGCGACUGUUUAUCAAAAACACAGCACUCUGCAAACACGAAAGUGGACGUAUAGGGUGUGACGCCUGCCCGGUGCUGGAAGGUUAAUUGAUGGGGUCAGCCGCAAGGCGAAGCUCUUGAUCGAAGCCCCAGUAAACGGCGGCCGUAACAAUAACGGUCCUAAGGUAGCGAAAUUCCUUGUCGGGUAAGUUCCGACCUGCACGAAUGGCGUAACGACAGCGGCGCUGUCUCCACCCGAGACUCAGUGAAAUUGAAAUCGCUGUGAAGAUGCAGCGUUCCCGCGGCAAGACGGAAAGACCCCGUGAACCUUUACUAUAGCUUUACACUGAACGUUGAGUUCUUCUGUGUAGGAUAGGUGGGAGGCUAUGAAACCAGGACGCUAGUUCUGGUGGAGCCAUCCUUGAAAUACCACCCUGAAGUGCUUGACGUUCUAACCUAGGCCCGUAAUCCGGGUCAGGGACCGUGUAUGGUGGGUAGUUUGACUGGGGCGGUCUCCUCCCAAAGAGUAACGGAGGAGCACGAAGGUACGCUCAGCGCGGUCGGACAUCGCGCACUGUGUGCAAAGGCAUAAGCGUGCUUGACUGCGAGAUCGACGGAUCAAGCAGGUACGAAAGUAGGUCUUAGUGAUCCGGUGGUUCUGUAUGGAAGGGCCAUCGCUCAACGGAUAAAAGGUACUCCGGGGAUAACAGGCUGAUACCGCCCAAGAGUUCAUAUCGACGGCGGUGUUUGGCACCUCGAUGUCGGCUCAUCACAUCCUGGGGCUGUAGCCGGUCCCAAGGGUAUGGCUGUUCGCCAUUUAAAGUGGUACGCGAGCUGGGUUCAGAACGUCGUGAGACAGUUCGGUCCCUAUCUGUCGUGGGCGUUGGAGAUUUGAGGGGGGCUGCUCCUAGUACGAGAGGACCGGAGUGGACGUUCCGCUGGUGUUCGGGUUGUCAUGCCCAUGGCAUUGCCCGGUAGCUACGAACGGAAGUGAUAACCGCUGAAAGCAUCUAAGCGGGAAGCACGCCCCAAGAUGAGAUCUCCCGAGAGCUUGACUCUCCUAAAGGCACCAUCAAGACUAGGUGGUUGAUAGGUCAGGUGUGGAAGCGCAGCAAUGCGUUGAGCUAACUGAUACUAAUGAGCCGUGAGGCUUGAUC